CCCCUUGCUAACAGGUUUCUAUGACAGCACCAUCCCCGCCUCGAAGCUGGGGCCAGGUGACAGUGGGGGGGCUCCCCUCGACUCAUAAACGCCUGAUUCAUAUGUAACCACUGCACUGUGCCCUCUUCUAAGGCCUCCCCUCUGCCACCCUCAGUACCGCUCACAGCCCUGAUCAUAAUGCCACAGGAACGGUAAACAAGAAUUAAGGCUUAAAAAAGCAAGGACCAAGCAAACCUAUGGACAUAGACAAGAAGGAACAGAAAAGCCCACAAGGAAGGGAAUCAUGUCCACUGCUGCCCACAGCUGUCUUCCAUAUCAUCGACCCAGCGGUCCUCCCAGUCCACACAAAGGUCCAACAGGUGAAGUGCAAGGAAGCCGUUCUCAGCCAGAAUCACAAACAGAGGCAGCAGUGCAUCAAUGCCAAGCCUAGGCCUCAACAGCUUUGCAUGUGUUCACUCUUUUGGAGCCUUGCCACCCGAGCUUGUGCCUCAACGAUGAUAGACAGGAAGGCAGACUGUCGAGCUUUCCGGAAGAGGCCAUCCUGAACCACCAGCCAGGUGAGUAAAUCACCCGGCUGCCCC
rnacentral:lncRNA from 1 species